rnacentral:rRNA from 1 species
AUUGAACGCUGGCGGCGUGCCUAACACAUGCAAGUCGAGCGGUAACAGGUGUAGCAAUACAUGCUGACGAGCGGCGGACGGGUGAGUAACGCUUGGGAAUCUGCCUGUUAGUGGGGGACAACCCGGGGAAACUCGGGCUAAUACCGCAUACGCACUACGGUGGAAAGCCGGGGACCGCAAGGCCUGGCGCUAACAGAUGAGCCCAAGUCGGAUUAGCUAGUUGGUAGGGUAACGGCCACCAAGGCGACGAUCCGUAACUGGUCUGAGAGGACGACCAGUCACACCGGAACUGAGACACGGUCCGGACUCCUACGGGAGGCAGCAGUGGGGAAUAUUGGACAAUGGGCGAAAGCCUGAUCCAGCGACGCCGCGUGGGUGAAGAAGGCCUGCGGGUUGUAAAGCCCUUUCGGUGGGGAAG